rnacentral:lncRNA from 1 species
CACACAGAAACUGCUCAUAAUGUCAUAUAUGACUUAUUGAUUUUACAUCGUACAAUACACUAUACCAAAAGUCCAGAAGGACACAUAUACAUAUAGAACAGGAGUCUCGAGCUUCACAGGCUCGGACCAGAGUACAUAUGCUUGCCCUUAUGGCCACUAUAGUUUACAGAACCAUAUCUCACAUUAUACUAGUACACAACCACUCAUAACAUAUGCACAUGAUGAGAGUAAGAGUCUCAAAUGAGUUUUAAAACGCAAAACGAGGAUCAAGACACAAUCUUUCAUAUCUACCUGGCGUCGUCACCAGGACGGCCAACCUCGGAGCUCGAUGAUACCAUUUUGCAGAUUUGCAGUGUGUGAAUCAGUAAAGCCUACUGUCGCUCUGAAAUGGAAAGUAAAGGUCAGUGUUAAUCACUGAGUGAGAAUCUCUACCCUAGUCACUCUAAGGUACAAAUAAUCAUAUAGAAAGUAUAUAGCAUAUAACACAUAAGGCUAAUUCUAUAAUCUAAUUCAUAUCCAUAUUUUAUUUGGGAUCCCGACUCACAUAUGCUGACGACCCACAUAGAGUUAGUGGCACUAAAAUGGCCCAUGUAGAGUUAGUGUGGUGAUUACCAAAGCCCACGGUAAUAGUUAGUUGUGGCGCUUACCAAGGCCCACCGCGUAACAUAAGUGCAAUAAGCAUAAUCGCCAGCAUACGGGCCCUAACUAAGUGAUCAAUUAAUUACUGGAUUUAUUCAAUAAUCAGUAAUCCCUACUGCUCAGAUUCACACAUAUAUUAAAUUAGAUAUAUCAGCAAAGUAACAAAACAUGCAUCAUAUUAAGUACUAAUAUGGUAAAGAAGCAUAUAUAAUCUUAGGAUUAAACGGACAUUAUCCUAUUAUGCAUAUAGCCUUUAAUAAUAAUAAACUCAUAAUGGAACGUCUAACCCGAUCGCAUACGUAGAAGACCCUCACUAGGAAUAAUCCUUGAGAAUACCAAUAUAAGCCUUCGGGUCAAAACUCUAUUCCCAAACGUCCCCUGGAUUACGAACCGUGUUUCCUUCACUCACUCACUUUAUUUUAAUACUCC